UACAGAGGAUGCAAGUGUUAUCCGGAAUUAUUGGGCGUAAAGCGUCUGCAGGUGGAUAAUUAAGUCUUUUGUUAAAGCUCUGGGCUUAACCCAGAUUCUGCAAAAGAAACUAGUUAUCUUGAGUAUGGUAGAAGGAGAGGGAAUUUCCAGUGGAGCGGUGAAAUGCGUAGAGAUUGGAAAGAACGCCAAAAGCGAAAGCACUCUCCCGGGCCAUUAACUGACACUCAGAGACGAAAGCUAGGGGA
rnacentral:rRNA from 1 species